GUUUAAUGAUCAGUAAUAUAGUGGUCGGCUGUAGGCUGUCACAAAAAGGAGGGUUUCCAGUGGAGAGGACUCAUUCACACGGAGCAACUUGAUGCCUUCAGCCAGCAAUGCUGAGCUUUCUUCCAGGUGAGCUUCAUCGCUGCAGAACACCACUAGGAGCAUGAUACAGAGGUGCCAGGGACAAUCUGCCAUUGGCUACAAUGAGUGUCUGACACAAAGACAUCCUCUCGUAUAUCCAAAAGUUCUUGCGGGAUUCUUUAACUUUUGUUGUUUGUUUAAUUAAACUGGCUUUGGACUCAAAAUACUCUCCCAUCCUUACACUAGAUAAAUAUGCAGGUAGCCAGCAGCAGUUAUCAUUUUUUUAUUUUUAAUUAACAUAACAACUGUACAUGUUUGUAGGGAAUAAUGUAAAAUUUCACUUAUACACAUAGUAUGUAAUGAUCAGAUCAUGACAGCUUGUGUUUCUACCACUUUAGAUAUUUAUCAUUAUUUAUAUCAGGGACUUUCAAAACUUUCUCUACCUGUCAUUUGAAAAUAUUUAAUUAGUUAUUAUGUGAAUAAAAAUUUGUGGAAAAAAACACACCUUCCACUGAACCUUUCAUAAAACUGAUUAAAUUAUUAGAAUUCCAGUAAUUGUAGAGAGGUUGGGAUGUUGCAAGUUCAGAAUAAAUUAUCUUGAGUCGUCUUUAGCCCCAGGUAGCUCUUUAUAACCUCUUCUGUGUGUGACCAUUAGAUAAAUCCUUUGGAAUGUAGGAACACAUUUCCACUAACCAAAUAACUUAGAAUAUCACCAGAUUGCAUCUGAGGCUUAUAGCUGAGGUCAUUGCCCAGACCACCCACUUGGCUUUAACCACCCACAAAAUUGUGCUCAUUGGUUUUGCUCAAGUUGACACAAACCUAGCUGCAUCCCAGAGGAGGGAAUCUGAACUGAGAAUAUGCCUCCCUAUGGUUGGCUUGUAAGCGAGCUGUGAAGUAUUGUCCUGAUUAAUGAUUGAUGAGGGAGGGCACAGACAACGGGAAUGAUGCCAUACCUGGGACCGUGGUCCUCACUGGUAUAAGAAAAAAAGCAGAGGCAGGCGAAUUUCUGAGUUCAAGGCCAGCCUGGUCUACAGAGUGAGUUCCAGGACAGCCAGGACUAUACAGAGAAACCCUGCCUCGAAAAAAAAACCCAAAAACCCAAAAAACCAAAACCAACCAAACAAACAAACAAAAGGCAGGCUGAAAAGGCCAGCCGGCAGUAUUCCUCCGGAACUUUGACAUGAGUGCCUGCCUCUAAGUUCCUGCUUUGAGUUCCUGCCCCACCUACCCUCAGUGAUGGACUGUUGCCUAAUACUGUAAGCUGAAAUAAACUCGUGCCUCCCAAGAUUACUUUUGGGAAUGGUGUCUUGUCACAGCACCAGAAAAGGAACUAAGAUAGAAACAUGCAUCAAUGUAUGCUAAAAGUGCUUUGGUUUGUGACUUCCGUUGUUCUCUUACUAGAAAACCUUCAUCGAACUGUUACUACAUUGCAACAUGGAAUUUAGGCAUAAUCUGUGUUCUGGGGACAUAGUCACUCAUAUUUAGCUCCAGAAUAAACGAUUUAUCAUCCCCUUCGAGGCAAGAGUUGUGGUUGUAAGUUGACAGUUGCCAGACUCAAACUGCUAUCCCAUAGGGUGUCCAUGGUCCAGCUAACUCUCCAGGUGCAUUUUGCUUGUGAGAAAAUGUAUUUUUCUUUCUGUGCAUGAUUUAUUUCACAUAGCAUAAUGUCCUUCGGUUCCAAUUACAUUGAUGCAAAUGACAAACUUUCAUUCCUUUAUGGGGAGAAUUCACUGUGUUUAUGACACAUUUUAUUAUCCAUUUAUCCAUUCAUCCAUUGAUGGAUACCUAAGUUGGCUCUGUCAUAGCUCUUGUGGACAGUGGUGCAGUGAAUGUGAAUUCCUCCAGACAUACAGAUUAUAUUUCCGCUGGCUGUGUAUCAGAAGUAUGAUCACUGGUCAUUUGGUAGCUCUAUUUCAAGGUUAUUUUUUUUUAAGGCACUUCAUACUGCUUCCCACACAGUUAUACUAACCUAUAUUCUUACCAGCCAUGUCUGAGCAUCCCCCUUCUCUUCAUCCUAAUCAGGGCUUGCUGUUUUUGUCUUGGAAAAGGUCAUUCUGGCUAGGUGAAGUGGUGCUUCACUACAGCUGUCAUUGUAAUGUCUCCAGUAGAUUGCGAUGUGAUCACGUUCCUGAGCUUCUUGCCACUGGGUGCCUUCUGUGUCUUUCACCCAUUUGCAGACUAGAGUACGUGCCUUUUGUGAGUUGUUGCUUUGGGAUCUGAAUAUCCAUUCCUUAUUAGGUGGAUGGUUUGCUAUUGUUUUACAAAUUCUGUUGGCUUUCUCUGUAUUCCGACGAGGAUUUUCUUUGCUGUACAGGUGACUUGGUUAAAUUUAAAUUUGCUCUUGCUUGCCUGUGCUUUAGGAUCAUGUCUGGAAAUAAAAACAAGAAGGUGUGCCUGGGAAGAACUGCCUGAAUUUUGACAAGCUAUCUAUCAAUUGUGGCACAUGAAAAAGGGGCAUAUUGAAUGGUUUUGUUUUUACACUAGGAGUACAGGCAGAGCGCUGAGACUCUGAGCUAGUCUGAUGUAGAGAGAAGCCUUGUGGCACUUGGAUAUCACCUGAAGAGUCUAUUCUAAAUCAACAGCUAAGGUUAAAACUAAUUUGAAUUUCCAGUUGAUGCCUAGAGAAGCACAGAGUGGGUGCUUUUCUAGGUACCAAGGUAGGGGAGUAGAGAAAACCCCACCACCCUACCUGAUAACAUCUGUUAUCAGGAGCUUUGUGGGCAAUGGGUUUCAUAGGGAAUCAGAGCGCAAUGGCCUGUUGACCUCAGUAGCUACAUGAGUCAGAGACCAACAUCGUCUCAGGAAGAGACAGGUUAAAAAGACAAAGAACGUGUCCUAAGCUUACUUUGAAUUAAUAGGUCACUGGUCUGGGAAUCAAAGCAAGCCCUCCUACUCCAAUAUGAAAGAUUUUAAAAACUUAGUGUGCAUCUGGUAGGGAAUCAUGUACAGGGUUCCUUAAUCCUAGGCCCGGUAUUUGGAUGGCCUGUGGGAUUCCACAAUGGGCCUCACAGAAAGGCAGGACCCACACAGAAGCAGGGCCUUGCUUCUUAGUGUCAUUUCUUAUUUACAUAAUCCGGGAUUGCACUUAUUCUCUGGAGGGGAAUCCCUGAGACCUUUACACGUUAUAUAUUUCAGAGCAGAAGGCUUCUGGAUUAAGUAAAAUAAUUUUACAACCUUGAUAUUUGCUUUAC
rnacentral:lncRNA from 1 species